CCUGAAAAGCAAAAACAUAAAACUUCAAAUCACAUCAACACACUCCAGCUCAAGUCUAUAUAACAAAUACUAUUUAGAUCGAAUACAAAGUGAAAUAUACUAGAAUAAAUUGUGUUUGGCAACAAGUCUGCUCGAUAGUAUGAUAUGAAUAUGCAAAAAAUAUACUUUUAAUUUUUUCCUAAAAAGUACAGAAUGAAAAUGAGACAUGUUUGCAACAUGUCCUCAAGCAUGAUCACAUUCAAUUGUAACAGAUCUGACCUUGAUUAAUCACCAUGACCUUGAUAAAUCAACUACGACUAUCAGUCAAAUGAAUGACCUUGACCAUUCAGUUUACCUUGUACGAAGUGACAAAAGGACCAAGGAAAGGUGGAAAGACCUCUAAUGUUUGUGAACAAUUUGGAUUACUCCUAGAUUUUGAUGGGGGUGGGGGUCAUUAAAAUUCCUGUAGAGACCCCUACCUGUGUCCUUUGAGCUGAAUCAUUCCCUUCUUGCUGGUCUCCUCCAGAAAUUUCUUCUCUAAAGAUUCAUCCCCAUCUGGGCCUCCUAUUCUGAAAGGGACGUUCAUUCGACUGCGACAAUGCGACUUCACUGUCCCACUGAAAAACGAAGGAAAAGAACAUUAGCAUUCCGACAUUAAAUGCAAGAUUUCACAACACUUAACAAAAAAAUCAUAAACUUAUAUUGAGAUAACUAAUGCUACACUGUACAAAAUCUAUAAACAUGCAACUUAUCUGUAAUAUGACAAUAUUUUACAAUUUCGAAAUAUUUGUUCACGUAAAAAAAAACUUACAAUAUUUCAAUCAAUAGGACAUUUUAACAAACACCUACUGAUAGAAUCCAUUGGACUUUUCUAUAACAUCAUACACUGCUUCUGAUUUUUGCUUGGAGUUUUCAGCCAUUUUUUCCACACCUCCCUGGUCUUUCACCCACUGAAGAACUAGGCCCAAGAUGUAGAUACUGAAAAAUAACAACAGCACAAAUGGAGACUUUCAUUGGUUGGGCUCUCAAUAAUAAAUGGUUUCUGAUGGUUAAUCUGAAGAACAAUUGUAAACUGCACAAAAUUUGUAGAAGUACUGUGUGUGUACAUAUUUGAGUGUAUUUUAAAAAAUUUGAAGCAGUAGGAUCUGAUGCACUGUUUGACGUAAUCAUGAUUGAGCACUUGUUUUGUGGUUGGUAAUAGAUGAAUAGAGAUUUUCAUACUUCAACAGAACCAUAAAACUGACAAAGCCACUAAAAUCUGAAUCCCGUUAAAACAAGUUGUAAGUGCAGUGUAUUAUCUGUAGCAUGUACUACCAUUGCACUACAUAAUUUACUUUGACAUUAAAUGACUACAUACUUGUAUGUGGGCGCGGUGUUGUAGAGGGAGUUGUUGCCCACUUGGACUUUGUAGUCGAGGGUGACGGGACACUCGGGCAUGGCUUUCCCGAGGAGGUCCUCCCUGAUAAUGACGAGGGUCACGCCCGCACAGCCCAUGUUUUUCUGGGCUCCCGCAAAAAUCACACCAAACUGCAACAAAAAUAAUGAACAAGUGUUUUAAAGGACCGACAAUGCACUGGUGCUUUAAAACUGGGAUGACAUUGGCAUCUGGUUGAUUCAAAAAUUUCAGCAAGAUGGGUAAUUCAUAAAAACAUGUAAAUUUUUCUUGAGCCAGCUUAUUUCAGUUAUGAAUUCUUUAUUUCUUUACCUUUGAUACGUCGAAUGGUUUGGACAAAAUAUUUGAGGACAUGUCGCAGACUAAAGGAAUGCCGUUGGGGUCUGGGAUAUCGGAAAACUCCACCCCAUGGAUGGUCUCGUUGGAACAGUAAUAAACAUAGGAAGCGUCGGGACUUAGUGACCAUUGGCUAACAUCAGGUAUAGCUGCAAUCAAAAUUAUCAGCUGAGCAUAUCUAAAAUGCUUUGAAGAAGAUUAAGUGUAUUCAUCUCAAAGUUUGAACUGAAAAACUUUCACAGUCCACUAUACAUACAUCUUCACAUCUCAUUAAUUCCCUUUAAAUCACUCACUGUUGCAGUGAUAAGGAUAUAAUAAGUGGUAGGGAUAUAACAAGAGUUUAAAAGCUCUCAUGUGUACAAUAGCGUAACUGACCAUGCUGACAAAAUGAAAUCAGAGUGUCCCUCAACGACACAACAUAAAUUUUGUUUUCUAUUUUCGAUUCAAGUCUUGCGCAUGUGCUCAAAAAACAAAAACACACUUACUGGUGUACGACUCCAGUUUAGGAAGUACACGGUUAACCUUCCCGUACUUUUCCGCCUCAUUGGCUGCUUUAGCUGACCAGGUACCCGUGACGAUGUAGUCUGCCUUUGCCUCAGGUCGAAGUUUCAUCAGGUUCAGUGGUACUGCUGAGAACUGACCGGUACCACCCCCUUGCUUGAAAAUCACCUUGUAGUUAUCGGGGAUGUUU